UACGAAGGGGGCUAGCGUUGCUCGGAAUCACUGGGCGUAAAGCGCACGUAGGCGGAUUUUUAAGUCAGGGGGGAAAUCCUGGAGCUCAACUCCAGAACUGCCUUUGAUACUGGGAAUCUAGAGUCCGGAAGAGGUGAGUGGAACUCCGAGUGUAGAGGUGAAAUUCGUAGAUAUUCGGAAGAACACCAGUGGCGAAGGCGACUCACUGGCCCGUUACUGACGCUGAGGCGCGAAAGCGUGGGGAGCAAACAGG
rnacentral:rRNA from 1 species